UAAUACCAGCACCCCGAGUGGUCGGGACGAUUAUUGGGCCUAAAGCAUCCGUAGCCGGUUGUGCAAGUCCUCCGUUAAAUCCAGCCGCUCAACGGAUGGGCUGCGGAGGAUACUACAGAACUAGGAGGCGGGAGAGGCAAGCGGUACUUAGUGGGUAGGGGUAAAAUCCUUUGAUCCAUUGAAGACCACCAGUGGCGAAGGCGGCUUGCCAGAACGCGCUCGACGGUGAGGGAUGAAAGCUGGGGGAGCAAACCGGAUUAGAUACCCGGGUAGUCCCAGCUGUAAACGAUGCAGACUCGGUGAUGGGCUAGCCUCGUGUCAGCCCAGUGCCGCAGGGAAGCCGUUAAGUCUGCCGCCUGGGGAGUACGGUCGCAAGACUGAAACUCAAAUGAAUUGA
rnacentral:rRNA from 1 species